rnacentral:rRNA from 1 species
UACGUAGGGUGCGAGCGUUAAUCGGAAUUACUGGGCGUAAAGCGUGCGCAGGCGGUUUUGUAAGCCAGACGUGAAAUCCCCGGGCUUAACCUGGGAAUGGCGUUUGGGACUGCAAGGCUCGAGUACGGCAGAGGGGACUAGAAUUCCUGGUGUAGCAGUGAAAUGCGUAGAUAUCAGGAGGAAUACCGAUGGCGAAGGCAGGUCCCUGGGUUAGUACUGACGCUCAUGCACGAAAGCGUGGGGAGCAAACAGG